UACAGAGGGUGCGAGCGUUGUCCGGAAUCACUGGGCGUAAAGGGCGCGUAGGUGGUGGCUUAAGCGUGCGGUGAAAGCUCGGGGCUCAACUCCGAGUCGGCCGUGCGAACUGGGCUCACUGGAGCAUAGUAGAGGCAGGUGGAAUUCCGGGUGUAGCGGUGGAAUGCGUAGAGAUCCGGAAGAACACCGGUGGCGAAGGCGGUCUGCUGGGGUGAGGCUGACGCUGAGGCGCGACAGCGUGGGGAGCAAACAGG
rnacentral:rRNA from 1 species